CAGCAUAAUAAAAUAGGAAGCACUACCUUCAGAGCAGCCCUUGAAGUAAAGGGAAUAAUAUAUCUGAGUAGAUUAUGCAAGCACAAUGUGCUGUGCCAUGAAAGGAGUUGUCUCACAUGAAUGUCACUCAAAUUGUAUGCUCCUGAAAAAUUAUAUUGCUCCCCUCUUUCAAACAGGAAAUGUCACUUAUAUUUGUCAGAUUUUUCAAAACAGGACUCUGUUGUGACCACAACGUUUGCAAUAUGAAACAAGACUACUAUAUUCUCACACUCUUCUAAGAUAGGGAAGAGUACUAAUCUUCAAAUAAAUCAUCUUCCUUGGAUUUUAGCAAAACCUGAGAAGUGUGGUGACCAAUCAGGUCUAUAAGCAGUGAGAGGAUUUUGUAUCUGAACUCAAUGAAAAUGAAACAUGUUUAAUUCCAGCCAGUUAUAUCAUUAUUUUACUGGAAAUUUGUGAAGCUAAGUUCCUUCUGGGAGUACUAAGUGAAUUAAUUUCUCAGCUGAAAACCAAACACAGGUGCAAUAUUUACUUUAAGAAUCAAGAGACAAAGGUUUCUGAGUGAUGCUUCCACUGAUUUCUUCAAAAGCAUUUUGUAUAUUUAUGUACAUUACCUGUUUUCAGGUGGAAUGGAUUUGCUUAGAAAAAUAUAAAACUCAGUUAAAUAAAAGCAAAUUCUAUAAUAUCAUUGGGAAUAUGUAACUAGAUGGAACACUGCUGGAAUAUGGAGCCAGUUUUCUUGUGGGAUGUAAUGCAGUAUUAACAACAAAUAAUUAUUACUUCAUUAGUUGACUAAGUUCUUAAAUAUAAAUGGUUAUUCAAACACAUUUUAACUAACACCUUGUGUUCUUAAUACUAAAGCCCAUAUAGGAUGUACCAUAUAAGUUACAAGUAAGUGUUUUAUUUGAAUGUUAUGUAAUAGUAUUAAAGAUUCACUGAAGACAAUUAAGAUUUUAUUCAUUUUGGUCCAACACAACCUAAUGCCAUAUCUCUGCAAGAUUCCCAGGUACUCUAGUAUGAAUUUAUUGGAAGUUGGAGCCAAUGUAUGAAGACAGAAAAUCCCAAUUACUUAUAAGAAUUAAGCAAUAUACAUAUCAUAUAUGAACCUUCGCAAAAUCCAUGCACUAGCUCUGAAGCAUUGUGAAAACAUGCUAUUAAAAUUAAUUGAAAUCUUGUGUAACCUUAUUUUUUCUUGCUGGUAACUGUUACUUACUCACUAUUAUCCAGUGACCAAUGACUCAAGAGCUAGAUGAGGGAUUUGGAAACAGAUUGUUGUUUGAUGUAGACAAUCUUAUCUUAUCUUAUCUUUUUUUUUUCAUUAUCAUUUAUCUUGACACUCAAGCAAUAUUUUUAAUCUAAAAUUUAAAAACGGGUCUCAGAAUGACAAUCUAUUUUCAGUCACAAGCAUAUGGAGACUUACACAGCUGUCUCUUCUCCAUGUUUCUUCUCAAGAAAUGAAUCUGAUUUUGCAGUGGUCUGCAGUCAUUUUAAGCUAAAAAUCUCAUUAAAAUAAUUGGUGUGGGGUUUGUUUGAAAUAUCUCUUGGGAACAUUACAAGGAAAAUCUGAACCUUCUUUCACUUUUACACCUUUCAUCCUGAAACUUCCUUUACUCAAAUGAAAUUACUCAAGGGUUCUUAGCAGCCACAGAGGAGAGGCAGUCUCCCAUAUAUGUCUUCUGCUCUCACAGAGGACAAAAUGAAGCCUUCCCUUUGCUCUAGUUGGGACUAUAGGCCAACCAUAUUUCAUUAUGUUGAUGUAGGACCUCCAAAUCAAUACCAAACUAAACAUAUAUUAUAGUGUUGUGGUAUGAGCAAUGUAUAACUUAAGAAAUUGUCUUUUGGAUAAUUAAAUGAUUAUACUCAUAUU
ensembl:lncRNA